UAAAGCUUUCCGGAUAAACAAUGAACGAUCUUAAUAAAACCAAGAGUAGCGCUAGUAAUAGUGAAGCUAAUGCGCACAAAAAUUCUCAAACAUCAAGACAAGACAUACCUUUAACAAAACUUCCGGUGGCGAAAAAU